AGGACGAACGCUGGCGGCGUGCUUAACACAUGCAAGUCGAGCGGAAAGGCCAUUUCGGUGGUACUCGAGCGGCGAACGGGUGAGUAACACGUGAGUAAUCUGCCCUUGGCUUUGGGAUAGCCACCGGAAACGGUGAUUAAUACCGGAUAUGACCACGUACUGCAUGGUGUGUGGUGGAAAGUUUUUUCGGCCAGGGAUGUGCUCGCGGCCUAUCAGCUUGAUGGUGGGGUAAUGGCUCACCAUGGCUUCGACGGGUA
rnacentral:rRNA from 1 species